GUCUUUUUGUAAGUAUAAAGAGUCCGGUCUGCCCACUGAUGAGUAUAUUAAAGGGCCGCAGUAUUUUAACUGUGCAAAGGUAGCAUAAUCACUAGUUCUUUAAUUGAGAUCUUGAAUGAAUGAUUAGACAAAAAAAUUACUGUCUUUAUAAUAAUAAUUGAAUUUAACUUUUAAGUGAAAAGGCUUAAAUAGUUUGAAGUGACGAUAAGACCCUAUAAAGCUUAAUAUUAUUAUAAAAUUUUUGGUAAGUUAAAUGUAAAGUUUUAAGGUUUAUUAAUAUUUUAUUGGGGCGAUAGAAAUAAAAAGUUUGAUAACUGUUUUUCUUUUAAUCAAAUAUGAAUGGUUAGUAUAUAAAUGAUCUUGUUUUAUAGAGUAAAAGAUUAAGUUACUUUAGGGAUAACAGCGUUAUUUUUCUUGAGAGUUCUUAUCGAAAGAAAAGAUUGCGACCUCGAUGUUGAAUUAAAAUAUCUAUAUAAUUGUAGCGGUUAUAUGAGAAGGUCUGUUCGACCUUUAAAUUUUUACGUGAUUUGAGUUCAGACCGGUUUAAACCAGGUCGGUUUCUAUCUUUUAAUUAAAUUGUAAUUAUUUUA
rnacentral:rRNA from 1 species